rnacentral:rRNA from 1 species
GCAUAUCAAUAAGCGGAGGAAAAGAAACUAACAAGGAUUCCCCUAGUAACGGCGAGUGAAGAGGGAAAAGCCCAAAUUUGUAAUCUGGCUCUUUUAUAAGGGUCCGAGUUGUAAUUUUGAGAACUGUUUUCUGUGCUGACAUGAUGUACAAGUCUAUUGAAAAACAGCAUCAUUGAGGGUGAUAAUCCCGUAUGUGAUAUGGACUACCAGGGGCAAUAUGAUACAGUCUCUAAGAGUCGAGUUGUUUGGGAAUGCAGCUCAAAGUGGGUGGUAAAUUCCAUCUAAGGCUAAAUAUAGGUGAGAGACCGAUAGCAAACAAGUACCGUGAGGGAAAGAUGAAAAGAACUUUGGAAAGAGAGUUAACAGUACGUGAAAUUGUUAAAAGGGAAACAUUUGAAGUUAGACUUGUUAUUGUUGGUUCAGCUUCUUUAUUGAGGUGUAUUCUGAUGAUUAACAGACCAGCAUCAAUUUUUGGGUGUUGGAUAAGGGUUUUGGGAAUGUGGCAGCUUCGGUUGUGUUAUAGACCAUUACUUUGAUACAAUGCUUAGGAUUGAGGAACGCAGUAAGCUUUGUUGCAGAUUUUUUCGGAAGUCUCCUUACUACGGAUGUUGGUGCAAUAGCUUUAAAUGACCCGUCUUGAAACACGGACC